GACGAACGCUGGCGGCGUGCUUAACACAUGCAAGUCGAACGGAAAGGCCCUGCUUUUGUGGGGUGCUCGAGUGGCGAACGGGUGAGUAACACGUGAGUAACCUGCCCUUGACUUUGGGAUAACUUCAGGAAACUGGUGCUAAUACCGGAUAGGAGCUCCUGCUGCAUGGUGGGGGUUGGAAAGUUUCGGCGGUUGGGGAUGUACUCGCGGCUUAUCAGCUUGUUGGUGGGGUAGUGGCUUACCAAGGCUUUGACGGGUAGCCGGCCUGAGAGGGUGACCGGCGACAUUGGGACUGAGAUACGGCACAGACUACAACGGGAGGCAGCAGUGGGGAAUAUUGCACAAUGGGCGGAAGCCUGAUGCAGCAACGCCGCGUGCGGGAUGACGGCCUUCGGAUUGUAAAACGCUUUCGCCUGUGACGAAGCGUGAGUGACGGUAAUGGGUAAAGAAGCACCGGCUAACUACGUG
rnacentral:rRNA from 1 species